CUAAAAUCAGAAGAAAGACGGGACGAUUCUUUUCCCCGGUAGUAUCAUGCCAUGAAUCGUUCGUCGAAGUUUUGAUUGCCACAUUAAUCAAAUACUCCAGAAAAGACAGUUUUCAGGGUGUAAAGAUUUACAAGCUUGGAGACAAUGAAUUUCUUCUCAUCCACUAUGCUGAGAGCAGUCAGAGGCUUUGUAUCUCCAAUACUACAGACAUACUCCAGGAGCUUCUCUACCAUUCACCAGAAAACAUCCUUCCUCAGUUCACUGUCUGUUCCUUGCAGCCCUACUCGCAAACUACUUAUGCCUUCCACCAUCAGCUUCGAGCAAACCCGAGCUUAUCAGCCAAGAGGGGUGCCCAAACUACGAUGUAAACACUGUUAUUUUGUCACAAGGCAUGGCCAAUUAUUCGUGGAGUGUACCAGUAAAAAGAGACAUAGACAAUUUCAAAUUGUUGGGAAAAGUCGCCGUUUCAAAGAUGAUUUAACAGAAGGAAAGUUUCACACCUUUGUUUAUAAGGAUCAUAAACAUAAAAGAUUUUAUAGAUUUGGAGAAAAUGUGUGGACUAAAUCAGAUCUUGUUGGUGAUAGAAUGGGGAAAGACUUAUAGACAUUUUCAAAGUUUUUUUUUUACUUUGUACAGAGAAUAAAAGAAGUAAAAUUUA